AGUGAUGGGUAAUGGUCUUGGACCAUCCUCUGUCGAAGGACGUGACUCUGAGGGCAGUAGAGUAACACGCUAAGACUGUGUCCAGAGACUUCAGGUGUGGAAUGACAACCCUUCAGCUUCGUUACUCGGCCACCAGGUUCCAGAUGCCAGCAAGAUGCCAAUCAGAUUUCCCUGGACAGAAAACCCCACCAAUGUGUCCUGGAGCUCCACUUCCCCAGAGACUCACCCUACUAGGGAAAGAGAGAGAUAGACUGGGAGUCUGGAUCAACCUGUCAAUGCCCAUGUUCAGCAGGGAAGCAAUUACAGAAGCCAAACCUUCCACCUUCUGCAUCCCACAAUGACCCUGGG